AUCACCGUAAAAACCAAAAGAACAACAAAAUCAGGACCGUUGAUUUGGCUUGAUGGUUUCGUCACCCUCUAUGCUUCUUUCUAACCAUAUCUUGUUUACUUGUCAAAAAAGGCCACAAUAUUUGUUGUGUGAUGAAAUAGGUGGGUAAUAACGCUUCUUCCUCACAUAUACAACGACAACCAGACUAAGUUCAACUCCUACGCUAUCGAUUCUCUCUCUCUCUCUCUCUCUCUCUCUCUCAUAGAACGGUAGAAUUAAAAGAAAAUUAGAGUUUUAUUUUAUUCAUCUCUCUGUUUUUUAUGAGUUUUUGAAAGUUGAAAGGUGUUUUAUGGAGGAACCGAAGCUGAAGAUGGAGGGGAUUUUGGAGAGAUUUUCACCUGUUAAUACAACUCCUGUCUUCUGGAAGUCUAGGAAACGAUCUGGUACUUGUCUCAGACCUUGCUCUUAAUUUUUUUCUCCGUCAACUAGUAAUUUAAGAUCAAUUAAAGUACUAAACAUGUUGAUUGUAAGUAUUUUAUAUUCAUUUAAGACGGAAUUUGUCGAAAAUUUGUGCGAAGUUCUCUGUGAGUUGCAUGCAGAACACUAGAUCUCGCUCUCCCUCUCAUGUUAGGAAAAUGCUUUCUUAGGUAUCCUCUCUAUUAGUGUUACCUCUUUGUUUCUUAGUGAAAUUGUACUUCUCUGAAUUUUCUAAUUACUAAGUAAGUAUCUGUUCAUUUUCCUCUGCUUAAGUUUUUCCUUCAAAUCAUUUUCUUUCCUCUUUCUUUUUUCCCCGGGAAAAGGGAUAAUUUGGGACAUUAUAGGUUAGGUGUAGGUCUCCUACAACAACAACAACCCAGUAUAAUCUCACAUUAGCAACAUGUGGGAUUAGCAAGAUUUGGUGGUGUCUUUGCCGACACGUCAUUUCUAUAUUAUAGCUAAUUACAGAGCUUGAUCUUUGAAUAUACGGUUAAGGGUCAAAUAUAUCCUUGUACUAUUCAAAAUAGGCCAUAUUUAUCCUCCG
rnacentral:lncRNA from 1 species